CGGCAUAGCCAUCGCAGAAGCGAGACUCGAGAAUGCAUUGACCGUCUGUGCAGGUGAACUGAUCUUCGGGACAUUCUGCAACAUUUAUGAAAAGUUAAUACUUUCGCUGCCAAGAGGACACAGAACAUGUUGAUUGUCCUUACCGCAGUGCGUCUCGUCAGACUUGUCGUAGCACUGAACGGCGCCGUCGCAGCGUGCCGCGGCCGGCACGCACAACCCGUUGCGACAGCGCCACUCUUGAGGCGAGCACGUGACCAGAUUCAGCUGCCGGCACACGCGCACGCCUCGCAGUCUGUCUACUAGCUGACAUGCCUCGGUCUCCAAGGCACACAGACCUCCACAACCUGCACAGGAAAAUUUAGAUAUAUUAUCCGACUGAGUUAAGAAGGUAACCGAUUGCUAAUAAUAUGUAUGGAAAUGGAGCCUUCGUAUAUUGGUCGAGUGGAUUUUACAACGUGGACUGGCGGGAGCCGGCACCCCGCCCGCUGCCGGGGUCCGACGGCCGCUGGGGGCGGGGCGAGGUGCGGCAGCCAGUAUAACAGAUAAAUACAAGACUUUUACUAACCGAUUUAACAAUUAAAAUUUGAUUGAUAUGAAAGUUUCUCUUUUUCUCCAAGUGUGUUGAAAAACGUCGUAUGAAACGCGUGUGCUAUGGUCAUUACACACAUGGGCUUUCUUAUUGCGUGCUUGCUUGCAGCUCGCGCACAUAAUAUCGCCUCGAGUGUGAUAACCAACUUAGCACACUUGUAUCACAAUGUACUAUAAAAUGAAACUUUUUUUAGAUCGACUAAUUUUUUUCGUCCAUCUAUCGCAUAGCAUGUCGCAUUAUAGUAUUAAAAUUCUUCUUUAUUUCCAUUUUCUAGUACUUAGAGUCCAUUAUCUUUGAAAUAAUAUUCAUUAUCAGAUCAAGGUUACAAUACUUAAUUCACCAAGGCUGAUAUUCGCUUGUAAUUUGAUCAACACUUUACAGUAGACUUUAUUAACCUUAAAUACGGUAACGUUUAAGACGUCAACCUCUCCAUAUCUGUCAAAUUCUACGGUGAAUGGCAAAUAGCCAUAUCAUAGUAGGAAUAUGGAGUGUGGAAUUAAGAGGAGUGGCAUCUCUUAUGGUAGAACUGUUGCAAAAGUGUCCAGCUGUCAGCUAUAAAUAAUAGUUCCAAAUCUCUCCAGAGUAGCGCUAGAGUAGCUAAAAACCUAGGCGUUAUUGACGGAGUGAAUUGCGCUGUCUAUGAUUUGUUUUUUUGUUCAAGUACUCUAGGUAUUGUAGCGCCACCUAUUUAAAGUUUAUUGAUGACACUUUUUGGUACAUGGAGAUUUCGUUCCUUAUGUCCACCUUCCGUAAGUAGGAAGUUUACAGUCACAUACGACGAUGACGUCACGAUUCCGUCAAACCAUUCCCACAACGGUUGGCCACUCGCAAGCGACUAAGGCAUCUCGAAAAUCUCAGUGUAACGAGAUCCGUACCUAACAACGUAUGCGUAAUCGGAGAGCUUAUUUAUGCCGGUUUCUUUAGCCCUUGACUCCCGUAUGAUAAGUAAGCGAAAUUAAUAAUAAUAAUUAAUUACAGCGCCAUUCCGUGUUGAGUAGCUGAAUCACAUUGGCGUUGGGCGAGCUUUUGUAAGAUAAGUUACGAUUAAAAACACGUUUUUAUUACCCUAAAUCGAAUAAUUUUCCGAUUUUGUUAAUGCCUACAAUACGAAAAGAAUCAACUUUUAAAUUUUUUUUAUUUUAUUUUAUUUAAACUUGGGAAACAAACAGGCAAAAUAGUACAAUAAAAUAAUUAAUUUAGACAAUUCACAGCCAAAACAGUUUACACUUAUGACUAAUAUUAUUUAUGAUUGCUCAGACAAGACUUAAUUUAUUGGGUUACUACAACACCAAUAUAUUUUGUACAUUACAGAGAUAAUUAUAUUAGAAGACACGUAUAUUUACCAUUAACAUUUUUAAACCAUUUUACUUACAUUUAUUUAUUUUUUACUUUAUUUUUAUGAUUUUUUUUUCGGAGAAACAAACUGUUUACAAACGGUUGUGUAAUUUUACCUAAGCCAUGGCUAAAUUGCUUAAGCUUUAUGGGAUUUUGUCAGUUUUCGUCAGUGUUUCACACAUAGGAAUAAGGGACGUAAUGUAAACUUACCCGUAGGAUCAUCGGAGUCGAUAGCUUUCCUGCAAUCAGGUGUUCCGCUGCUUUCGUUUAGCAUGCAUAUUUCAUCUGUUUGGCACGAGCAGAAACUUUGCGAUACAAUGUCUCGAUUUAUGAUAUCUUUAGGUUUUUGGCUUUCUUUGCUUUUGUUAGAGUUUCU